CGCCCUUCCUGACUGCUUCACCCUGGUGUUUGAAAGCAGUGGUGGGGAGCAGCGAGGGGAAAAGGAAGACAUUAAUACACAACGACGAGCUGAAACCAAAAGCUCAGUGCUGCAUGUUCCCACCUCUCGGCAACUCCAUGGACUGCUAUUCCAGUCCCUCCAGUCCACGACCGAGGACGCCAAACUGGUAUUGCCAUACUGGCCGCCUCCCCAGCAAACUUAUAUAUUCCCAUGCUCCUGGGAACCAUUCAGGAGAAGAUGUCAGGAUGAUGACUUCUUAAGCAAGAGGAUUUGUGGAAUAUUAUGCAUAAGGAGAGAAGAAAGCUGAGGUGCCUGUCCAAGCCAAAGACACUUUGCAUCAUUUCGACUCUUCUAGAAAGAUUGUGGUGGAAAGGAAAAUUUCACAUUUCUUCCUCUCACUCACCUCCUUAAAACAGCACAUUAGGACCUUAUUAA